rnacentral:rRNA from 1 species
AUUGAACGCUGGCGGCAGGCCUAACACAUGCAAGUCGAACGGUAACAGGAAACAGCUUGCUGUUUCGCUGACGAGUGGCGGACGGGUGAGUAAUGUCUGGGAAACUGCCUGAUGGAGGGGGAUAACUACUGGAAACGGUAGCUAAUACCGCAUAACGUCGCAAGACCAAAGAGGGGGACCUUCGGGCCUCUUGCCAUCGGAUGUGCCCAGAUGGGAUUAGCUUGUUGGUGGGGUAACGGCUCACCAAGGCGACGAUCCCUAGCUGGUCUGAGAGGAUGACCAGCCACACUGGAACUGAGACACGGUCCAGACUCCUACGGGAGGCAGCAGUGGGGAAUAUUGCACAAUGGGCGCAAGCCUGAUGCAGCCAUGCCGCGUGUAUGAAGAAGGCCUUCGGGUUGUAAAGUACUUUCAGCGGGGAGGAAGGGAGUAAAGUUAAUACCUUUGCUCAUUGACGUUACCCGCAGAAGAAGCACCGGCUAACUCCGUGCCAGCAGCCGCGGUAAUACGGAGGGUGCAAGCGUUAAUCGGAAUUACUGGGCGUAAAGCGCACGCAGGCGGUUUGUUAAGUCAGAUGUGAAAUCCCCGGGCUCAACCUGGGAACUGCAUCUGAUACUGGCAAGCUUGAGUCUCGUAGAGGGGGGUAGAAUUCCAGGUGUAGCGGUGAAAUGCGUAGAGAUCUGGAGGAAUACCGGUGGCGAAGG